rnacentral:rRNA from 1 species
UAAGCGGAGGAAAAGAAACUAACAAGGAUUCCCCUAGUAACUGCGAGUGAAGCGGGAAAAGCUCAAAUUUAAANUCUGGUGGUCUUUGGCCAUCCGAGUUGUAAUUUAGAGAAGCGUCUUNCGCGCUGGACCGUGCACAAGUCUCCUGGAAUGGAGCGUCAUAGAGGGUGAGAAUCCCGUCUUUGGCAUGGACACACCAGGGCUUUUGUGAUGCGCUCUCGAAGAGUCGAGUUGUUUGGGAAUGCAGCUCAAAAUGGGUGGUGAACUCCAUCUAAAGCUAAAUAUUGGCGAGAGACCGAUAGCGAACAAGUACCGUGAGGGAAAGAUGAAAAGCACUUUGGAAAGAGAGUGAAACAGUACGUGAAAUUGUUGAAAGGGAAACGCUUGAAGUCAGUCACGUCGACCGAGACUCAGCCUUGCCUCGGCUUGGUGUACUUCUCGGCUGACGGGUCAGCAUCAAUUUUGCCCCUUGGAUAAUGGCGAGGGAAAUGUGACACCUUUAUGGUGUGUUAUAGUCUCUCGUCGCAUGCAAGGGUUGGGAUUGAGGAACUCAGCACGCGCCCUUUGGGUGUCGGGGCUUUGCCCACGAUACGUGCUUAGGAUGUUGGCAUAAUGGCUUUAAACGACC